rnacentral:rRNA from 1 species
GAUCAUGGCUCAGGAUGAACGCUGGCGGCGUGCUUAACACAUGCAAGUCGAACGAAGCACUUUAUUUGAUUUCCUUCGGGACUGAUUAUUUUGUGACUGAGUGGCGGACGGGUGAGUAACGCGUGGGUAACCUGCCUUGUACAGGGGGAUAACAGUUGGAAACGGCUGCUAAUACCGCAUAAGCGCACGGCAUCGCAUGAUGCAGUGUGAAAAACUCCGGUGGUAUAAGAUGGACCCCG